AGAGUUUGAUCAUGGCUCAGGACGAACGCUGGCGGCGCGCCUAACACAUGCAAGUCGAGCGAGAACCGGGGCUUCGGUCCCGGGGACAGCGGCGAACGGGUGCGUAACACGUGAGCAACCUGCCCCGAAGACCGGGACAACCCGAGGAAACUCGGACUAAUACCGGAUGUCCUCACCGGAUCGCAUGGUCUGGUGAGGAAAUGGAUUCCGCUUCGGGAUGGGCUCGCGGUCUAUCAGCUUGUUGGUGGGGUAACGGCCUACCAAGGCGACGACGGAUAGCUGGUCUGAGAGGACGAUCAGCCACACUGGGACUGAGACACGGCCCAGACUCCUACGGGAGGCAGCAGUGGGGAAUCUUGCGCAAUGGGGGAAACCCUGACGCAGCGACGCCGCGUGCGGGAUGAAGGCCUUCGGGUUGUAAACCGCUUUCAGCAGGGACGAAAUUGACGGUACCUGCAGAAGAAGGCCCGGCCAACUACGUGCCAGCAGCCGCGGUAAUACGUAGGGGCCUAGCGUUGUCCGGAAUUAUUGGGCGUAAAGAGCUCGUAGGCGGUUCGGCAAGUCGGAUGUGAAAUCUCCACGCUUAACGUGGAGGGGCCAUUCGAAACUGCUGUGACUCGAGUCCGGUAGGGGAGUGUGGAAUUCCCGGUGUAGCGGUGAAAUGCGCAGAUAUCGGGAGGAACACCAGUAGCGAAGGCGGCACUCUGGGCCGGUACUGACGCUGAGGAGCGAAAGCGUGGGGAGCGAACAGGAUUAGAUACCCUAGUAGUCC
rnacentral:rRNA from 1 species